rnacentral:rRNA from 1 species
GAUGAACGCUAGCGGCAGGCCUAAUACAUGCAAGUCGAGGGGCAGCAGGAAUAGCAAUAUCUGGUGGCGACCGGCGCACGGGUGCGUAACACGUAUACAAUCUGCCUUUUACAGGGGGAUAGCCUUUCGAAAGAGAGAUUAAUACCCCAUAAUACAUGAAAUAGCAUUAUUUUAUGUUGAAAGCUCCGGCGGUAAAAGAUGAGUAUGCGUCCUAUUAGCUAGUUGGUGAGGUAACUGCUCACCAAGGCUACGAUAGGUAGGGGAUCUGAGAGGACUACCCCCCACACUGGUACUGAGACACGGACCAGACUCCUACGGGAGGCAGCAGUAAGGAAUAUUGGUCAAUGGAGGCAACUCUGAACCAGCCAUGCCGCGUGCAGGAAGAAGGCCCUAUGGGUCGUAAACUGCUUUUAUACGGGAGAAAACCCAGGUACGUGUACCUGGUUGAUAGUACUGUAAGAAUAAGGAUCGGCUAACUUCGUGCCAGCCGCCGCAGUAAGAC